ACGCCUAGCGAGCUGUUCUCUUAAUAUGGGUAGGUUCGGGCGUGGAGCUGGCAGCUGCGCGGUGUGCCGAGACAGGGCGUGUUAGUUAUUUAGUGCAGGUGUAGCAGGGAACGAGGGCAUCUGUCGCAGCCGGAGUGCGUCCUGCCGAAGCCUGUGGUUGCACGCCCACCCUCUUAGGGGCUGCCCUCUGCGGAAAUCUUAGUGAUGGUACUUCUCAGUGGUCUUUGCCCACCUGUCUCAUGGUCUCAUUGUACCCGCACACCCACUGCCUCAUUCUUCAUCUAAUUCAGAAUUCCCAGGAGAAGUUGGGUGGCUGGGCCCAGUGUGCUGGGGUCAAGAGGAACAGCUAUGGCCACACACUGCGUCUCGCUCUGUCACCCAGGCUGGAGCGCAAUGGUGCGAUCUCGGCUCACUACAACUUCUGCCUCCCAGGUUCCAGUGAUUCUCCUGCCUCAGCCUCCCAAGUAGCUGGGAUUACAGGACUGCUCUACACUGGGCCUGUGUCAACGGCCAUGCGGAAGUAGUAACAUUUCUGGUAGACAGAAAGUGCCAGCUUGACGUCCUGAUGGCGAAAACUGGACACCUCUGAUGAAGGCUCUACAAUGCCAGAGGGAGGCUUGUGCAAAUAUUCUCACAGAUUCUGGUGCCGAUCUAAAUAUUGUAGAUGUGUAUGGCAACACGGCUCUCCAUUAUACUGUUUAUAGUGAGAAUUUGUCAAUGGUGGCAAAACUGCUGUCCCAUGGUGCAGUCAUCAAAGUGCAAAACAAGGUGGACGUUAACCAAGGCUAGCCUCACACCACUUUUACUGGCCAUAAUGAAAAGACGUGAGCAAAUUGUGGAAUUUUUACAGACAAAAAAAAUGCAAAUGCAGUUAAUAAGUUUAAAUGGUAUAGUAGUUCUUUUUUUUUAUUAAAAAACACUUGAGUAGUGUUCUAGAGAAAUAAGACUCAAGUCAGAAAUAUUAAAUUAAUAUUUACUUAAAAUUAUUAGAUUAUAGUGAAACAUAUCAACACAAAUUAUCAGAAGUAAAGCAAUUAUUUGGACUGAUCAACAUAAAGAGCAGUAUGUAGUAGGACUUCUCUUAUUAUAUUGAUUGAUUCUUAUGUGUAAUCUGAUGUUUUUGGUUGCAUUAUCUUCCAUAAGCUAAAGUGGUUCUGUAUUAGUUUUAAGAAGUAUGAUUUUUUAGUUUACUUUGUAAUUCAAUAUUGAAUGAUUAACACUUUUAUAGUAUUUUUCUAAC